GUGUCAGCAGCCGCGGUAAGACGAAGGAUGCAAGCGUUAUCCGGAUUCAUUGGGUUUAAAGGGAGCGUAGGCGGACUUAUAAGUCAGUGGUGAAAUCUCCGAGCUUAACUCGGAAACUGCCAUUGAUACUGUAGGUCUAGAGUACAGUUGCCGUUGGCGGAAUAUGACAUGUAGUGGUGAAAUACUUAGAUAUGUCAUAGAACACCGAUUGCGAAGGCAGCUAACGAAGCUGUAACUGACGCUGAGGCUCGAAAGUGCGGGGAUCAAACAGGAUUAGAUACCCUGGUAGUCC
rnacentral:rRNA from 1 species